CCUACGGGAGGCAGCAGUGAGGAAUAUUGGACAAUGGGCGCAAGCCUGAUCCAGCCAUGCCGCGUGCAGGAAGAAGCAUCUAUGGUGUGUAAACUGCUUUUGUACAGGAAGAAACACUCCCUCGUGAGGGAGCUUGACGGUACUGUAAGAAUAAGGACCGGCUAACUCCGUGCCAGCAGCCGCGGUAAUACGGAGGGUCCGAGCGUUAUCCGGAAUCAUUGGGUUUAAAGGGUCCGUAGGCGGUUUAAUAAGUCAGUGGUGAAAUCUGGUCGCUCAACGAUCAAACGGCCAUUGAUACUGUUAGACUUGAAUUAUAAGGAAGUAACUAGAAUAUGUAGUGUAGCGGUGAAAUGCUUAGAUAUUACAUGGAAUACCAAUUGCGAAGGCAGGUUACUACUUAUGGAUUGACGCUGAUGGACGAAAGCGUGGGGAGCGAACAGGAUUAGAUACCCUGGUAGUCCACGCCGUAAACGAUGGAUACUAGCUGUUCGGAGCAAUCUGNGUGNGUAGAGAAGUAGAGUAAGUAAGUACCACCGUCGGGAGGUAACGGUUCGUCGAAGAAAGUAGUUAAACGUUAACGUAAAGUUAAGAGUUAGUACGGCGUUGAGAGNGCCGACGGACGACGACGAGGGAGGAGG
rnacentral:rRNA from 1 species